rnacentral:lncRNA from 1 species
UAUGUUAACUUUUGUAUGUACCAACUAUUUAUAUGUGUAUUUUCUUCGUGUGUACCAACUACUGUUUUCAUGCUAUGAACUGAUGGUCCUAUGGGAGACAUACAGAAUUCGGUGAUGGUUAAGUUCAACCAGAAGAUCCAAAAAUUCAUCUAUCAUGGAAAUGUGUAGUUUUAUUCAGACAAAUGCUUUAUUCAGGAACAUUUAUUCAUCAUUUCCAUAUUGCAACUAGUACUUGCCACACAUGAUGAUGCAUGACAUUUUUAUUUUGCCACCGCUACAUUGAUCAACUAGUACGCACCACCAGGGUAAGUAGCCACCAUGGGAAUGUUGUAGGCGGUGGGGGCGGGGCAUUGUACCGGGAUGUAGAUGCUACACAUCGACCGCAGGGCCUGAAGCGACAUCCUGAUGCUCUCAAGUUGUGCUGGCUGCUGGGCCUGGUACAUACCCUGCCAUUGUUGUUGGGGUCGUUGUUGCCUGAUAGCCUCAGCCACGUUGUGGAUGGCUUGGCAACGGAAUUGCUCCGGGAUAUGUGAUAACUGCCGGCAACAUUGGUGUUGCACAUUCUGGCAGCUGGUAGGCUGAUCCACCAGUGUCUGGGGGAAUGGCACUGUCAUUGGGCUGCACUGCUGCUGCAGGAAUGUCGCACACGGUGUCAACUGCUCCUGCAAUUAUUGUUGUUGUUGUUGGCCCAAUUGUUGUUGUUGCUGGCAUUGUACCGGGACGGAGAUGCUGCACAUCAAUGAUAGGUUCUCAAGCAACAUCCUUAUGCUCUUAUGUUGUGCUUGCUGUUGGGGCUCCUGCCAUUGUUGUUGGGGUUGUUGUUGCAUGAUAGCCUCUACCACGCUGUGGAUGGCAUGGC